GACGUAGGGCGCGAGCGUUGUCCGGAUUUAUUGGGCGUAAAGAGCUCGUAGGCGGCUUGUCGCGUCGACUGUGAAAUCCCGCGGCUCAACCGCGGGUCUGCAGUCGAUACGGGCAGGCUAGAGUUCGGUAGGGGAGACUGGAAUUCCUGGUGUAGCGGUGGAAUGCGCAGAUAUCAGGAGGAACACCGGUGGCGAAGGCGGUUCUCUGGGCAUUAACUGACGCUGAGGAGCGAAAGCAUGGGGAGCGAACAGG
rnacentral:rRNA from 1 species